UACGUAGGGGGCUAGCGUUGUCCGGAUUUAUUGGGCGUAAAGAGCGUGUAGGCGGCCAGGUAGGUCUGCUGUGAAAACUCGAGGCUCAACCUCGAGAUGUCGGCGGAAACCAUCUGGCUAGAGUCCGGAAGAGGAAAGUGGAAUUCCUGGUGUAGCGGUGAAAUGCGUAGAUAUCGGGAGGAAUACCAGUGGCGCAAGCGGCGCCCUGGCCGUGACCUGACACUGAGCCACGACGGCGUGGGGAGCAAACGGG
rnacentral:rRNA from 1 species